rnacentral:piRNA from 1 species
UGCGUUUCGGUUUGAAGGGUGGGGCAGC